GUCACAGCCCUGGCGGGACUUUUAAAAUGGCUCCCGCACUAGAGAGGGGGAGAAGGAGGAAGAGAGCCUCCUCCUCCACAGGUCCCGGCAACAGGGACGAAAAACAGGUCCGUGGACAAGGACCCAUCCUAUCCAACAGACCGAAUGCACCUCCGGCCCCCGGGCUUGCGAUGCCAUCAAAGCUCCAGCUGCACAAGGAGCAAGAAGCUAAUGGAAAAAUAGACUAUCUGCAUUGACAGAGUGAAUGUGAAUUUCUGAAAAAUAGUGGCACCAAUAAUGGGCAUGCUCUUCAGUUGCAUAGUCAUUCAUGAUAAUAUAUGGCUGAGGAAGAAGCCAACUGAGAGAUGAAGAGAAUUGCCCAUGGCCACUCAGUGAAUCAGUGGCACUAACGGGCUUACAACUCAGGACUCUCAUCCCUGUUCUCAUUGCAUUGCACGCAUCUCAGUGUGUAGGUGGCUAAGGUGCAGGUACCAAAUGUGAGUUGCACUGGAUUAGCAACAAUGAUUUAAUCAUUUUUGGGACUCGGUUACAUCCUAUAUAUCAACCAAUGACGUAAGAACAGAUGGACGCUAUUGGAGUGAGCUUCAUCAUCAUGCCUGACACUCCUGCUGUUCCCUGGGACACUGAGACUUUAUUAUCGUGGUCCUGAGAGGUGUCCUGACUCGACCAAUACAGAGAGAGGGACUCAAAUGACAUCACCAUCGCUGGUGGCAUUAGCUGAAUCCCACACACCACCUGGGAUGUGAGGUAUAGCUGCUCUCUCUUUUCCUCUUUGUGUUCUUUUUGCCUUUGUGUUCUUUUUCUUCCCCACUUUAUUUCUUUUCUUUCUCGUCUUUUCCCUUCUUUCUAACAGGAGUUUCUUAGCCAGCUGCAAUAGUAUAUUCUGCAAUGCUGCUGUGAGCCUAUGACCAAAAAAAAGGCAGCUAGGUGUAAUGCCCUAAGUAGCCUGCUGCUGGUAUGAGUUUGUCAGGUCUGAGAGAAGUUACAAGACUGCAUGCUGGGCCUAUAUUUUUCCAGGAGUGAGGUUGCAAAUGUUAGUUUGCUCCAGAGACAAAAGUAGAACAUUUUCUAUUUUCCAUAUUCUUUACUCUCCCUUUGUGUACAUGUCUGUCUUCCAGAUUGUAAUUCCGACCGA